UACAGAGGGCCCGAGCGUUGUUCGGAUUCAUUGGGCGUAAAGGGUGCGUAGGCGGCGGGGCAAGUCUGAUGUGAAAUCCCGGGGCUCAACCCCGGAACUGCAUUGGAUACUGCCUUGCUCGAGUACUGGAGAGGGAACUGGAAUUUACGGUGUAGCAGUGAAAUGCGUAGAGAUCGUAAGGAAGGCCGGUGGCGAAGGCGAGUUCCUGGACAGUUACUGACGCUGAGGCACGAAGGCCAGGGGAGCAAACGGG
rnacentral:rRNA from 1 species